UACGGAGGGGGCUAGCGUUGUCCGAAGUUACUGGGCGUAAAGCGCGCGUAGGCGGGUUGGUAAGUCCGCUGUGAAAGCCCGGAGCUCAACUCCGGAAGGUCGGUGGAUACUGCCAGUCUUGAAGGUGCUAGGGGGAGAUGGAAUUACCGGUGUAGCGGUGAAAUGCGUAGAUAUCGGUAGGAACACCAGUGGCGAAGGCGGUCUCCUGGGGCAUUCUUGACGCUGAGGCGCGAAAGCUGGGGGAGCGAACGGG
rnacentral:rRNA from 1 species